CUCCUCAUCUCUUGGACAACAGCGCACAUCGUUGAUGACUAUAGAAGGAAAUGUGAACAGUGAUACUGACUGUUGACUUCAGCUGUGAACAGGAUUGCUGUUGUCACAACGAUCGUGCAGUCAACUCCUAAUCAAACUACCUGCUACUGUAAUGGUUGUACUCUGGUGAACCUUCAGAACAUCACAAGCACGGAGGUAGCUAACCUUCUGAACUAACUGAGAUAGAACUGCUUCACUCUGGUUUUAUGCACUUCUGAAAUGUCCGACGCUUAUGAACGCUUCCGCCUCUUAGUCUUAGGGGGCGUCAUCGGUCUCAUCUGCAUUUUCAUCGCUUUUAUUAUCAUCGCAAUUCAUCAUCUUAUGUAAAAGAGCUCGGCGCUCGAUCCAUCUCAACAGAGAAAUUCUGACUCCUAGGGAUCGUUCGUCCUAUCGGACCGUUUACUCAGAAUCACCCGUCGCUGGAGGAACACUUCCUUUAACUCAGAGAGCACUUCCUCCUGUGCCUGCGCCUCGACCUUCAGAGUGCCGGGACUCCUCUGAGGAUGCACCUCCAGAGUACAUAGAGCUCCUCAGCACUUCUGAUCAAGUAUGAAUGCAGGCACCAACAAAGAGGAGCAGAGGGUGCGGCCGCCCCCCUCUGAAAGCUAUCUUCAUCCUGUUCACUCAGCUUCACCUCAGCAGGAACAACCUCACAAGACUGUGCUUUUCCCGUUCUCGUCACCUUUGCCCUCGAGAACCAAAGGAUUCUGUCUGGAAUUAUCAGUUUCUGUGACACCCAUUGAUUUACAAAACAAUUCAGUCUGAUUUCACAAGCUAAUCAAACAUUCUUCGGCGAAAUCUUUUUUUUUCAAGUGAAAAUAAUUACUAACGAAUAGAACGAACUUGGUACAAACACGAAACUUCAUUUUCUUUUUUAAGAAGACAGUGAUAAUAUUCACUAAUGAACAAGCUGUACAAAGACUAUAGACAGUAAAAAUCAAGAAAUCUGUUCAAAACUUUGAGGCUAUAAUUCUGUAAUUGAUGUUCAAGUGCAGGGUUACCUUUUCAGUCAGAGAUAUCUCGCCAAAUAUUUCGCUUUCAGCAAAAAACUGGUCUUUGCAUGCUUCAGGAAUUUUUAUUCACUCUUUCAAUCCUUGCCAGAUAAAGGCACAUAUAUGAAUAACAACACUGAGAAUUGACAAUUUGUGUUGCAAUAUAAUUAAAACAAAGAAUGUAGAUAAUAAAAACACUGGUUCUCACUUUAAACGUUGGUCAACAUGCAAACAAAUGUACAACAAAGAUGUUGCUAUUUUCUGUUCUCAAUAACUCCAGCUUAAAAACUAGGGACGCAAGUAAGGAAACCUUCUUAAUUCAGAUUCAAGAAGACAGUUUUUCUGCCCAAGCUUUUUUAAACAAGGAAAGACCAUCCAAAUGCUGUUAGUAAAGAGAAAGCAGCUGUAAGAGCGCAUAUUCUAGAGACAAAAAAAA